rnacentral:rRNA from 1 species
AUUGAACGCUGGCGGCAUGCUUUACACAUGCAAGUCGAACGAACUCUUCGGAGUUAGUGGCGGACGGGUGAGUAACACGUGGGAACGUGCCUUUAGGUUCGGAAUAACUCAGGGAAACUUGUGCUAAUACCGAAUGUGCCCUUCGGGGGAAAGAUUUAUCGCCUUUAGAGCGGCCCGCGUCUGAUUAGCUAGUUGGUGGGGUAAUGGCCCACCAAGGCGACGAUCAGUAGCUGGUCUGAGAGGAUGAUCAGCCACAUUGGGACUGAGACACGGCCCAAACUCCUACGGGAGGCAGCAGUGGGGAAUCUUGCGCAAUGGGCGAAAGCCUGACGCAGCCAUGCCGCGUGAAUGAUGAAGGUCUUAGGAUUGUAAAAUUCUUUCACCGGGGACGAUAAUGACGGUACCCGGAGAAGAAGCCCCGGCUAACUUCGUGCCAGCAGCCGCCGUAAUAC